rnacentral:rRNA from 1 species
ACAGAGGAGCCAAGCGUUGUCCGGAUUGACUGGGCGUAAAGCGCACGCAGGCGGCCGUGCACGUGGGGUGUGAAAGCUGGCGGCUUAACUGCCAGACGCCACCUCAUACGGCACGGCUCGAGCCCGUGAGAGGUCCACGGAAUUGCCGGUGUAGUGGUGAAAUGCGUAGAGAUCGGCAGGAACACCCAGGGGGAAACCAGUGGACUGGCACGGUGCUGACGCUCAGGUGCGAAAGCGUGGGGAGCGAACCGGA